GAUGAACGCUGGCGGCGUGCCUAAUACAUGCAAGUCGAGCGAACAGACGAGGAGCUCGCUCCUCUGACGUUAGCGGCGGACGGGUGAGUAACACGUGGAUAACCUACCUAUAAGACUGGGAUAACUUCGGGAAACCGGAGCUAAUACCGGAUAAUAUAUUGAACCGCAUGGUUCAUUAGUGAAAGACGGUUUUGCUGUCACUUAUAGAUGGAUCCGCGCCGCAUUAGCUAGUUGGUAAGGUAACGGAUUACCAAGGCAACGAUGCGUAGCCGACCUGAGAGGGUGAUCGGCCACACUGGAACUGAGACACGGACCAGACUCCUACGGGAGGCAGCAGUAGGGAAUCUUCCGCAAUGGGCGAAAGCUUGACGGAGCAACGCCGCGUGAGUGAUGAAGGUCUUCGGAUCGUAAAACUCUGUUAUUAGGGAAGAACAAAUGUGUAAGUAACUAUGCACGUCUUGACGGUACCUAAUCAGAAAGCCACGGCUAACUACGUG
rnacentral:rRNA from 1 species